AACGGUAAACGCAGGGUAGCCGAGUGCGGAGCGGAUAACCGCUGAAAUGCUCUAAGGGGGAAUCCCACCCCAAGAUGCGUUCGCACGCUCUGUCAAGAAAGUAAGGUCACAGGAAGAACACCUGUUCAUCGGUGCUCGGUGGUAGUCUGGUAACAGAUGAAGCCAAGGCAUACGAACCGACCGAGGGCUUGAUUUCG
rnacentral:rRNA from 1 species